rnacentral:rRNA from 1 species
UACGUAGGGGGCAAGCGUUGUCCGGAAUCAUUGGGCGUAAAGAGCGUGUAGGCGGCCCGGUAAGUCCGCUGUGAAAGUCCAGGGCUCAACCCUGGGAUGCCGGUGGAUACUGUCGGGCUCGAGUCCGGAAGAGGAGUGUGGAAUUCCUGGUGUAGCGGUGAAAUGCGCAGAUAUCAGGAAGAACACCCGUGGCUAAGGCGGCUCUCUAGUACGGUACUGACGCUGAGACGCGAAAGCGUGGGGAGCGAACAGG